AGGGCUUCAUUGUUAUCGUCCUUCCACAUUCAGCCUCACCGUCUCUGCUCAUCUGCAAACCAAACGAUUUCUCCUUCCAAUCUCUUUUCCACCCCAGUGAAUUUUUUUUUGUCAGUGGUGUGUUGUUUGGUUUAGUGGAUUCGAAGAGAAUGGUGACAGGAUUCAAAUCAACACUGAUCUUCUUAGUCGUAAGAUUCAAGAGCUUAAGCAGUGUCAAUUCUCCGAGCUUCAGAACAAUGGAAGGGCUGAGGUCAUUGAUGCCUCAAAUUUUGACCAGACCAAGCUUCAGCUAAGAGGGAAGGCUUGGUUUACUAAUUCUCUAAAGUCAAGCCUGAUGUACAUCUGUCAUGCGCCUGGUUCUCCUUACAACAGUGAGCAACCAAAUCAAGAAGUCAGGUUGAUUAGUUGAACUGAAAAGUAAUCAGAGGCUUUUGUUUUCAUCCAUGAUUAAUGGAACAGGAGAGAAGUGCUGGACUUCUAAAAAGGUUAACCCAUGAUUAUGUUUUAAAAAUGCAUGAGAUGGUAAUUAAAUUAUUUCUUAUUGGUGUGGUAGAUUACUUAGACAAUAAAUAUUUCUGCAUUCAACGUUUCUUUUGGCCAUAUUAUUUGUGUUCGCUUUAAACAUAAUGUUUGCCUUUUCAGUCGACCUAACAACCGAACAAGAAGAGGUUAUCCUCUCCAUCCAUACCCACAAUCGUACUGAUAUAUUCAUGUUUCUUAAAUGUUUUUGUAGUUCAUCUUAAUACCCAGUGUUCUUUUCUUAUGUUAUUCCAAUAGAGCCAUUAUCUUCCAAGCUGAUUAUAUGCCGAUGAUAUGUAGGUUGCAACAAUGUUUGCAGUGAUGAAAGAAACAGACUAUUACAAUAAACCGCAAUUUAGGGAGCAUUUUUGGAAUGAUUAGUUGGGAAGAAGCAUGUGAUACUGAAGUUAGAUCACUGUGACUUCACUCCCAUAUAUGAGUGGCAUUUAAGAGAAGAAGAAACAAAUGAGCACAGAGGAGAAAAAAGCUUUGAAAAAAGAAAAACAGAAGUAAGAGGAGAAAUAUAUGUGGGCUGUUGUCGACGGUAUCAAAGACAAAGUUGGUAAUUUCAGGGUUGACCCGCAUGGGAUCUUCAGAGGCCGUGGAGAGCAUCCAAGAUGGGAAAACUAAAUGAGCGUAUCCAUCCAUCUGAUAUCACCAUGAACAUUGGGAAAUGUGUUCCUGUUCAAGAAUGUCCGAUCCCUGUUGAAAAGUAUUGUGAUUUUUCCCCUUGGUUUUCCUCCAAAAUAGAAAAACGUUAUAUAAAGAAAUUACUAAGCUAUGUGAGAUGAGGCACUGCAGAUGGUAAGACGUAAAGCAUGACAACACAGUCACCUGGCUAGCUAUCUGGAGUGAUCCUAUCAACACAAAAGAGUUCAAGUAUGUGUUUUUGGCAGCUAGCAGUGCCUUGAAAGGUCCGAGUGACAAGAAGUAUGAGAAAGCCAGAAAUCUUACGGUAGGAAGCUUUCAUUGUUUUGAAGCUUGUGCUUGCUAUUACUGUUUCUCCUUUUUACAAAAAUUAAAUUUCAAAUAGAUAGAAUUGUAAUAAACGGUUAAAAAAACUCUAGAAAUUUAUAAAAGUAUAUGGUUUAAAAAAUUUUUAAUUUUAGAUAUUUUAUUAGAUUUUGUUAAAACUGAUUUGUGGUGGA